UUUACAUGUUUUUGAACUUAUGCUUGAUUUCCUCUUACGCCGUUUAGCUAAACCACGCCUCUUUUUUAUUGUUUAAAGAGUAAACGGGGUGCAAACGGAGCGUAAACGGCGUAAGAGGAAAUCAAGCAU